AGCUAGCCACCCCCUAAGCCCACCCAACCUCAGCCAGCAGGCAACCUCCUGGGUCCCUGUUCCAUGCUGUGGAAGCUUUGUUGAAGACAGAAGAACACCACCCAGCUGGGAAAUAGGACAUAUAUACAACAUAAGAGCUGAGGACUCAGGACAGCAUUGCCUGGAGGGGCUGCAGGGAAGAGGUGUCUCCUGCACCUCCUGAGGCCUGAGCUACAGCCCUGGAGAGGCCUGAACCCCCACCUCAGCUGCUUGACCUGAGGGAAAACGAGGUGGCCUGGGUCAUCUAGGGACUUGACAGCCAGAAGAAGAGCGGAGUGCAUGUGAGUACC